rnacentral:rRNA from 1 species
AUUGAACGCUGGCGGCAGGCCUAACACAUGCAAGUCGAGCGGGGUUUUCGGACCUAGCGGCGGACGGGUGAGUAAUGCGUAGGAAGCUGCCCGAUAGAGGGGGGAUACCAGUUGGAAACGACUGUUAAUACCGCAUAAUGUCUACGGACCAAAGUGUGGGACCUUCGGGCCGACCAUGCUAUCGGAUGCGCCUACGUGGG